rnacentral:rRNA from 1 species
GAUGAACGCUGGCGGCGUGCCUAAUACAUGCAAGUCGAGCGAACAGAUGAGGAGCUUGCUCCUCUGACGUUAGCGGCGGACGGGUGAGUAACACGUGGAUAACCUACCUAUAAGACUGGGAUAACUUCGGGAAACCGGAGCUAAUACCGGAUAAUAUAUUGAACCGCAUGGUUCAAUAGUGAAAGACGGUUUUGCUGUCACUUAUAGAUGGAUCCGCGCCGCAUUAGCUAGUUGGUAAGGUAACGGCUUACCAAGGCGACGAUGCGUAGCCGACCUGAAAGGGUGAUCGGCCACACUGGAACUGAGACACGGUCCAGACUCCUACGGGAGGCAGCAGUAGGGAAUCUUCCGCAAUGGGCGAAAGCCUGACGGAGCAACGCCGCGUGAGUGAUGAAGGUCUUCGGAUCGUAAAACUCUGUUAUUAGGGAAGAACAAAUGUGUAAGUAACUAUGCACGUCUUGACGGUACCUAAUCAGAAAGCCACGGCUAACUACGUG